rnacentral:rRNA from 1 species
UACGGAGGGAGCUAGCGUUGUUCGGAAUUACUGGGCGUAAAGCGCACGUAGGCGGCUUUGUAAGUUAGAGGUGAAAGCCCGGGGCUCAACCCCGGAAUUGCCUUUAAGACUGCAUCGCUAGAAUUGUGGAGAGGUAAGUGGAAUUCCGAGUGUAGAGGUGAAAUUCGUAGAUAUUCGGAAGAACACCAGUGGCGAAGGCGGCUCACUGGCCCGGUACUGACGCGUGAGGUGCGAAAGCGUUGGGGAGC